UUGGAUGAGAAUUGCUUUUAUCAGUGGCGUACGUGUUGUCUGUCUCCGUUUGACCUGGCACCCAGAAUAUAAUGGGCGGGACGGCGGUCAUAUUCUCCUUCUAGGCGGUCGUAAAAAACUUCUUUGGUCUGUUCGCACUUGUCUUUCGUCGAGGCAUGGGGGCAAAUAAGGCUGAUGUUGAAGAAUUUGGCCUUUAUCCGAUACACAUGUAUUUUAUAUAAAUCCUCCGAUUUACGCACGUAUUAACCACAAUUUUCAAUCGAUCUGCAGUAAAUUUGGUACGGAUUGUUUUACAAGCUAUUUGAAAGUUACUAUUGCCUGAUUUGACGUCUUGAAAACCAACGACUUUUUGGAAACCUAUGCAAUUUUUGGACAUGAAUAACUUUUUAGUUGUUGCCUUGAAUAGUAAAUUUCUAUAGAAAAUGUCAUUAAAUUGAAAAAAAGUCUUGUCAAAAAAAAAUUUCAUAAGAAAUUAUGACCUAAUUGAUAAUCAUAAAAAAUAAUCAUAUAAAGUGUUUGACCUUUAGAUCACCAAUGCGAAUUCCAAAAUAAAAUAGCCUUUCAAAAGAAAUUUCAAAAAGUCCAGAAAAUUUUCACCACAAAAAGAAAACCAAUCAACAAACAUAGAAAGAAAAAUUAAUUUCCUGUCAACAUUUAGAAAAUUCAUGGAGAUUGUGAAUGCUUUUACUUGUUGCCCCCACGACAACCUUGGCAAAUUUCAAAAUUUUGCAAAGAAGCUUUUGAUUGCAAUGUGAACCCCCUCUCAUAUACUAGAUUAGCAAACAAACAAGCAAUUUGGGUUAAAUUCCAAGAAUUCGUAUAAAAUACCUUUCGAAUGCAAUUCAAAUUUGAAAUCCUUUGAUUAAGAAAAAGAAAUAGCCUCAAAAAGCGUAAAUGAAUAAGCAAACAGAUGAACGAACAUCAAAGAGAUGAAACCAAACAUUGGAAAUGAAUUAAAAACUAUACAAAAAAGAAAGCAGAUACCAUAAUGGAGGCCAUUAAAAUACCAAAAUUAAAACCGCCAUUUACGUUUGCAAUUUGAGUAACCACAAAAUGAACAAUAACAUCAGAAGACACAUACAGCAUACUUGAGCAUAAAGGAAGAUCCAACUUAAAUUGCAGAACACCAACUUUACUCAGGGUUGCUAUCACAAUUGCAGAGUACCAUGCUAGAAGAAUUCCGCAAAUGAAAAGAAGGAGAAACAAACUGAGAGAAUGUUCAAAAUUAAGCGCACAUUUUUUUCUCGGUGUAUACAACUAACCCAAAUUAUUUCAUUCCACCCCCAACACCAUCACCUGAAUGCAAUUUCGCACAAGUUGUAUAGGAAGGGCAAGCUUGGUUACCGGAUAUUAACGUAAUUAUCAACCAACUGACAGAAUCUAAUGAAGCCAAGGGAGAGAGAGAGAGGCUGCCAGAAAUGUUCCAGAGCUUUUCAGCCAUCUACAUCUCCAUGUUGAAUGUCCAAGGGGAGAAUGUAAAGUGGAUGCGGUGUACCAUAGCAAUGAUAUGAGGUGGAAUCAUUGCAAAAACAGAAACAACCAAAUGAGUGUAAUAAGAUUCUUUUUGGUUUCUUUGUUCCAUUCCAUUCUCUCGCUCGUUUUCAUUGUUCUUUAACGAUGCUCUAAUGUUUAUAAUUAAAUGAAUUACAAGGUUAUUAAAGCA